UACAGAACAAAGAAUGAACAAUUCAAUUCGAGUGAUGAAGAAAUAAUAGACUGUUGUUGUUUUUUUGUGUGUGUGUUUUCUUUCUUCUUUUCUUGAUCAACUUCAAAUUUCUUCAUUCU
rnacentral:ribozyme from 14 species